GACGAACGCUGGCGGCGUGCCUAAUACAUGCAAGUAGAACGCUGAAGGAAGGAGCUUGCUCUUUCUGGAUGAGUUGCGAACGGGUGAGUAACGCGUAGGUAACCUGCCUGGUAGCGGGGGAUAACUAUUGGAAACGAUAGCUAAUACCGCAUAAAAUUGAUUAUUGCAUGAUAGUCAAUUAAAAGGUGCAACUGCACCACUACCAGAUGGACCUGCGUUGUAUUAGCUAGUUGGUGGGGUAACGGCUCACCAAGGCGACGAUACAUAGCCGACCUGAGAGGGUGAUCGGCCACACUGGGACUGAGACACGGCCCAGACUCCUACGGGAGGCAGCAGUAGGGAAUCUUCGGCAAUGGACGGAAGUCUGACCGAGCAACGCCGCGUGAGUGAAGAAGGUUUUCGGAUCGUAAAGCUCUGUUGUAGGAGAAGAACGAGUGUGAGAGUGGAAGGUUCACACUGUGACGGUAUCUUACCAGAAAGGGACGGCUAACUACGUG
rnacentral:rRNA from 1 species